UGGGGAAUAUUGGGCAAUGGAGGCAACUCUGACCCAGCAACGCCGCGUGAGGGAAGAAGGUUUUCGGAUUGUAAACCUCUGUCCUAGGCGACGAAGAAAGUGACGGUACCCUAGGAGGAAGCCCCGGCUAACUACGUGCCAGCAGCCGCGGUAAUACGUAGGGGGCAAGCGUUGUCCGGAAUUACUGGGCGUAAAGGGUGCGUAGGCGGUAUGGUAAGUUAGAUGUGAAAUCCCCGGGCUUAACUCGGGAGUUGCAUUUAAAACUGUCAGACUAGAGUGCAGGAGAGGAAAGCGGAAUUCCUAGUGGAGCGGUGAAAUGCGUAGAUAUUAGGAGGAACACCAGUGGCGAAGGCGGCUUUCUGGACUGUAACUGACGCUGAGGCACGAAAGCGUGGGGAGCGAACA
rnacentral:rRNA from 1 species